GCCUAGCUGGCUCAAUCAGAAGACCACAUGACUUUCGAUCUUGUGUCAUGGGUUCCAGCCCCGUGAUGGGUG
rnacentral:tRNA from 1 species